GACGAACGCUGGCGGCGUGCUUAACACAUGCAAGUCGAACGGAAAGGCCUUUUCGGAGGUACUCGAGUGGCGAACGGGUGAGUAACACGUGGGUGAUCUGCCCUGCACUCUGGGAUAAGCCUGGGAAACUGGGUCUAAUACCGGAUAGGACCGCACUUUAGUGUGUGUGGUGGAAAGUUUUUUCGGUGUAGGAUGAGCCCGCGGCCUAUCAGCUUGUUGGUGGGGUAAUGGCCUACCAAGGCGGCGACGGGUAGCCGGACUGAGAGGUUGGUCGGCCACAUUGGGACUGAGAUACGGCCCAGACUCCUACGGGAGGCAGCAGUGGGGAAUAUUGCACAAUGGGCGCAAGCCUGAUGCAGCGACGCCGCGUGGGGGAGGACGGCCUUCGGGUUGGAAACUCCUUUCGCCAGGGACGAAGCGUUUUGUGACGGUACCUGGAGAAGAAGCACCGGCUAACUACGUG
rnacentral:rRNA from 1 species